rnacentral:lncRNA from 1 species
CGGCCUGCCAGAAUCAUCGCUCCCACCUCAAUGUCACUCGCCUACAGAUGCUAGCGAAUCUCCACAAGCUCCUUCGUCACCAAGAACUAUAGACGACUUGCGGGAAGCGUCUGUGCCACCUCAAAGCCACUCGCCAGGAACUAUCGACGACUUGCGAGAAGUGUCCGUGCCACCUCUCAGUCACUCGCCUACAGCUGCUAGAGAUUCUCCACAAGCUCCUUGGUCGCCAGGAACUAUAGACGACUUGCGGGAAGCGUCUGUGCCACCCCAAAGCCACUCGCCAGGAACUAUCGACGACUUGCGAGAAGUGUCCGUGCCACCUCUCAGUCACUCGCCUACAGCUGCUAGAGAUUCUCCACAAGCUCCUUGGUCGCCAGGAACUAUAGACGACUUGCGGGAAGCGUCUGUGCCACCUCAAAGCCACUCGCCAGGAACUAUCGACGACUUGCGAGAAGUGUCCGUGCCACCUCUCAGUUACUCGCCUACAGCUGCUAGAGAUUCUCCACAAGCUCCUUGGUCGCCAGGAACUAUAGACAACUUGCAAGAAGUGUCCGUGCCACCUCAAAGCCACUGGCCUACAGCUGCUAAAGAAUCUCCACGAGCUCCUUCGUCACCAGGAACUAUAGACGACGUGCGAGAAGUGUCCGUGCCACCUCGUAGCCCGUCCCCGACAAAGGAGUUCCCAGACGCAUCCUCGCCAGUUCAAGCUGCUCAAACUCAACCUCAGUCGCCUGUACGAACAGAAGUAUCCAUACCAUUACAGGGCCCGGAG